CCGAGUUAUACAACUCAUCAACCCUGUGAACAUACCUAUAACGUUGCCUCGGCGGGAACAGACGGCCCCGUAACACGGGCCGCCCCCGCCAGAGGACCCCCCAACUCUGUUUCUAUAAUGUUUCUUCUGAGUAAACAAGCAAAUAAAUUA
rnacentral:misc_RNA from 1 species